rnacentral:rRNA from 1 species
UACGUAGGGUGCGAGCGUUGUCCGGAAUUAUUGGGCGUAAAGCGCGCGUAGGCGGACCUGCAAGUCGGGGGUGAAAGCCCGAGGCUCAACCUCGGAACUGCCUUCGAUACUGCGGGUCUCGAGUCCGGGAGAGGUGAGUGGAACUGCGAGUGUAGAGGUGAAAUUCGUAGAUAUUCGCAAGAACACCAGUGGCGAAGGCGGCUCACUGGCCCGGUACUGACGCUGAGGUGCGAAAGCGUGGGGAGCAAACAGG